rfam:Ixodes scapularis strain Wikel colony gcontig_1108379882794, whole genome shotgun sequence.
GCCUGGUUAGCUCAGUUGGUAGAGCGUUCCACCGGAAAUGAAGAAGCCCGGAUUCGAUACCCGGACCAGUCG